rnacentral:rRNA from 1 species
CCUACGGGAGGCAGCAGUGAGGAAUAUUGGUCAAUGGGCGUAAGCCUGAACCAGCCAAGUCGCGUGAGGGAUGAAGGUUCUAUGGAUCGUAAACCUCUUUUAUAAGGGAAUAAAGUGUGGGACGUGUCCUAUUUUGUAUGUACCUUAUGAAUAAGGAUCGGCUAACUCCGUGCCAGCAGCCGCGGUAAUACGGAGGAUCCGAGCGUUAUCCGGUUUUAUUGGGUUUAAAGGGUGCGUAGGCGGCCUUGUAAGUCAGCGGUGAAAGUCUGUGGCUCAACCAUAGAAUUGCCGUUGAAACUGGGGGGCUUGAGUAUGUGUGAGGCAGGCGGAAGGCGUGGGGUAGCGGUGAAAUGCUUAGAUAUCACGCAGAACCCCGAUGGCGAAGGCAGCCUGCCAAGCCAUGACUGACGCUGAUGCACGAAAGCGUGGGGAUCAAACAGGAUUAGAUACCCCUGUAGUC